UCUUUAGACUUGUUAGCACUAAUUAAAUUUGGGGGGGGGGGGGGUACCAUAAUAAAUGCACUGUCAUUUUAAAGUGAAUUUUCCAACUUGCUGUUAAUUGAAACGGUAAUGAACUGUAUUUUUGUAUUGAAUUUUUACCGUGGAUUCUUCUUAAAAAUCUUACUCUGUGAUUUUGUUGUUGUUGUUCUGUUGAUGUCCUACAUGUACAAUUGACAGAGGUAGGCAUAAAGACAAGGCUUUUUCCUUCUUUAGUUCUUGUACGUUUGUGUUCUGCUGGGUCUAGACUGGCUCUAGUGUAAUGAUGAGCAGAAGAGAGGUCCUGAGCGUAUCUGGUUUGUCCCUAAUUGUUUGGGAGAAAACAACAUCAUGCCAUUUAAAUGUUCUUUGUUAUUUUUUGAACAUUGUGUUAUCAGUUUUCCUUUAUUAGGUCGCACACGCGUUACCAUCUGUUCUCCAGUGUAAGCUGUAUGACUGUUGAAUAUUAUAAAAUAGUUUCUAGCAACUCCUAAGAUGAUUACAGGCAAAUUAUAUGAAUUGAUUUUAGAGUUUUCUCUUGUAUAAUAUAACAUCAGUGUAGGAAAUGCAUGUGACAUAUGUAAAGUCAUCAGAAAUAUUAAAAAAUAAUUAUCUGUGAAAUGAAAUUCAGCCCUAAAUGUAGAAUGUGCUUUCACACCAGAUACCCCACUUGAACUGAACCUCGGUGAUAGGCCCCCUCACUCUGAUGUAUGUAACUAGUAUGUUGAAUCAUACAUAGAUACACAUGUAUGUAUAAUAAUAUACAUAUAUAUUUUAAGCAAUUUGGGUAUCAAUUUGUAGUGUUAUUUCAAAGGGUUGUUUUAUUCUUUACCUUGCAGCUGGUCAUUCAUAUUUAUCUAUGUCAGUGUCGACAGGUACAAAAAUACACGCAUGGUGACACAUAGGUCCCUCCUGGCCCCCGCUGUUGUGCCACAUUUUCCUUAGUACUUAUAUUUGAUUUGCUCGUGUGUUGUUUUCCUCCGAAAGAAUUGAAGAUCCAUGAGGUUCAUAAUUUUUUUGUUCAGGGCUCUAGCCCUAGUGCCUUCAGGUACGAGGGCCCAUGUCGCUGUAACCUAAAUCAGUUGUACUAAAUGAAAGAGCCAGAGGUAAGGGCUUCAAACAAAGCGGUCUUUCACAGGAGACAGGAAUUUGCCCGGAAAGGAGCACGAGGGCGUAAGCACGGGAUAGGAUGCUUCCGUUGGCGCUUCCCCAUAGUGCUGAGCGAAACCAAGCUUGUCUCCGUAUCAUGUUGGGAAACGGCAGUUACGGUGACAAAACGGCUGUGAGUAAGGGGUGUGUGAAAGACGUACAAGUGGUAGGCAUUUGCAUGGUGUUAUUUGUGGACCAUUCUGCCUUCCCCCUUCUGUGAACCAGUUUUAGUAACGUCUGCUUUACAGAGCUGAUACAUGUGUAUAAAGCUCUUGGUAAAGAUUUUUGCAUGCAAUGGGUACUCAAUGGUACAUUUAAAAAAAUGAAUGUUGUAGAUUAUUAAAGUAUUUGAUGGUUUCAAGCUGAGCGUGUUUGGGAGUUCCUUAGUCAGCUGGGGCUGCUAUAGCAAAAAUACCACAGACUGUGAGGCUUAUAACCAGCAAAUAAGUAUUUGUCACAGUUCUGGAAGCUGGGAAGUCCAAGAUCAAGGUGCAGGUAGAUUUGGCAUCUGUUGAAGGCCAUCUUCCUGGUUCAUAGAUGGCUGUCUUUUCACUGUAUCCUCCCUUGGUGGAAGGGUCCAGGGAGCUCUCUGGAGCCUCUGUUAUGAGGGCACUAAUUCCGUUCAUGAGGUCUAGGAGGACUCCUAGGAUUCAGCCUUCGGUCAUGAUCAUGGCCGUGAUUUAUUGCAGCAGCAAGAAUAAAGCAGGAUCAACCCAGGAGAUAGGUGCCUGAGGCCAAGUACUAAGGAGAACAGGUACAGGGUCCCCUCUAGUGACAUUGCAAAGCAGCCAAGUGUGGCAACACAUUUGAAAUUAGCAGGGCAACUAAUGAGAGACUUGGUUACAGAGUUUUUAUUGGCACUUGUCAUGCAGACAUCUCCUUCCUGGCCUGAUGCACAUGGUACAUCCGUCCUGAGGCAGGUCUUUGGCAGAAGCCCUAUUGUUUACGUAAAAAGGAAGAUGGAGCCACUUGUAUCAGGGUGCUGGAAACUCCCGACAUCCGAGAUCCCUCCCAUGUGCGGGUCAAGGGCCAACCUUGCAUGUGGGACGUUCUGAGGAUAAGGACUUUCAGGCCUCCUCAGCUAACACCUCUUGGACAAGGCAUCUUUACAGCAAAAUUAUUAAGAACACGGUGUCCUGUGAGGACACAUACCUGAGAAGUACAGUCCUGGAGGGCACCCUCAGUCCCCUGGAAACACAGUUUGCAGUAGUGCCUUGCAGGAUGUGUUGGUCAGGUAGCCAGGUCCCCAGGGCCCCCACUGUGGCCUCAGAGUUCUCAGCGCAGACCUAAUAAUUCAGCGCAGUUCUUGCUUCAGAGGGACUGCCUGAGGUGGUCUGUUUCAGACAGUUUCACUUAUCCAUGGCACCGGUUUGCCCACCUCACCAGUCAGACACAUGGAGGUGAUCUGUCAGCAGGGAAGCUCCCAGCUGUGAAGGGAUCAGCUUGGUUUUAGAUGGUCCCAUUGGAGAACAGGGCCUUGGUCACAGACAACUGUAAGUGACCCCACCAGACCCACUGGCAUCUGUGAGGUUUUCACAGUUCGGGGCUCACAGAGUGCUGCUGUGAAUCAUCCACAUUCCUAGAGCUGAAAUCCUGCUCAUGGAGCUUACUCCUGCUCUUGGGCCGGCACAAUGUAUACUGAGGCUGCAGCAGCCCAUCGUGGACUCUUGGGUUUUAGCUCAUGGUCAAAUCUAGGAGGUCAAAAUGCAAGCUAUGUGAAUUCAGAAUGCCAUCAAACACUAGGGUCUUUCUUCUCAGGAGCAAAGCGGAGACACUGCAGGGGCAGACAUCUGGGUUCCACAUGCAAGUAGCAGAUGAGACUGUCCUAAGCCAUUGUUGUCUCGUCUGUCUUAGAAUCCAAACUGACCCACUGCUGGACAACCAUCAGCCUCUGCAGGUCAUCAGAAAUAGGUCUUCUUAAGAACUCUUUAGCAAACUGGAAACUUUUACUUGAAAUUCCAAAAAUCGACUUCCCAUGUAGAGAUGGCUUGUUUGUUUGUUUGUUUUUACUUUGUUGCCUUCUUUUUUUAACCUAGGUAAAAAUCAUAGUAAAAAGCCAUCAGUUAUGGAGACCUAAUCUUAUUUCUAAUACUGAGAGGCUAAAUUCCAUCCCAUGCACCAGUGGCAGAAAGCGAGGAUGUGGCGUCACACAGACAUUUUUUUCUUUGCACGGAUCGGGAUGGCCCUACUAGCGCCGAUAGAAUCAUAAGGUUGCACCAUUUACCUCCAUUUUUGUCGUACAUGCAAGAUGCAGGAAUGACAAAUCAAAACCAUUUUAAGUAAAAGUCUCUCCCCCCUUCAUUCUCAUUGCAAUUCAGUCAGACCCUGUGUUAGUUUCCUAAGGCUCCAGAACAAGUGGCCACAGUGGGGGCUUGAAAUUUUGUCGCCUCACAGUUCUGGAGUCUGGAGGUCAGAGAUCAAGGUGUUGACCGGCUCGUGCUCCCUCAGGGCCCUUGAGGCUUCUGGGAACCCUCGUUGUCCAUUACGGUUUCCAGUACCUUCAGGCAUUUGUUCCUGUGGCAGCACAGUCUCUGUGUCGUCUUCACAUGGCCGUUUUCCCUAGGCUUCUCUGCCCUCGUGUGGCAUUUUCCUCUUCUGAUAAGGACACCAGUCAGGUUUGGGCCCAUUGUAAUGACCUCAUCGUGACUCAAUUACACCCGCAAAGACACUAUGUCCAAGUAAAACCACUCUCAUAGGUGCCAGGGGUUAGUAUUUAAACAUAUCUUGUGUGGGGACAGUUCAAUGGAUAACAAGGCCCUAGUUACAAAUUCAGCAUUUACAGGGGUAAAAUUAUAGCUGCUGGGGAAGGUCCUGGCCGGAAUGCCAGGGUGGGUCAGGAGGCUACUGCAGCCCCAGCUGGCUGAGCUCUGCACCCCAUUUCCCCUUGGUUUAUCUAAAGUUUUUACUUUUUUUCUCCCAAAUGAAUGCAAACUUUUAGCACUUUUUGCCCAUCCAAAGCUCACCUUUGAGAAAUUGGGGGUUCUUUGUUCUGUGUGCUAGAAGAGAGAACAAAACUCAAAGGUCAUACUAGGGCUGCCUUUGUUUUUGUUUGUUUGUUUGCUUUCUCCUGUCACAUAGCUGACAGGGCCAGAAGUAGCCCAUCUGUGCAGGGAGCCAGCCCUCCUGGAGUUAGAUCUGUCAUUUUUACCUCUGUCAGCUUGACCUCCCACCAGACAGCAGCUCAGCCGCCCUUUCAAACCACGGACAGCUCCAUAGCCACCCAGCACCAGAGCCCCAUCCCCUCCCUCUUCAUCCUCCCUCUUCCCAGUGUUUUUGCCGUGUUUCGAUGGGUCACGCACGGUGUUCCAGCAAACCUACUUCUGAUGUCUCAAAGACCGCUCCCAGGCCCUGCUAUCAGGACUCUCAUGACUCAGCAUAUAGUUGCGUUCUUAACUAUGAUUUGUUACAACAAAAGGACACAGGUAAAUCGUCAACAGGAAAAGGCACAUGGGGAGAAAGCUGCAGGAAAACAGGGGCACGCUGUUGAGUCCUUUCCUAAUGGAGUCAGACAGAGUGCACGCAGCAAGGAGUUGUAACAACAUGUGAAAUGUUGUCUACCAGGGAGGCUUGUUAGACCCAGUGCCCAGGGUUUUUACUGACAGCUGGCGUCAGGAAAAUAGGUGUUCGGCAUCAAUGCUGUCAUCUGCACAGACAGUUUAGACACUGUGAGGAAUAUCAAUUCCAGUGGUGUGAUACCUCUCAGGUCCAAGGUCCCAGACACUGGUUAUGGCAAGCUGUGCUUCAGUCGUUUCUAAAAAUAAAAAGUUCAGGCCUGAGGUGUCAAUUCUUCUUCUGCACAAUGGGUGAGGGAGCUUUAUGGGAGGAAAUAUAGCAGAUAACUGUCCCAACGUCAAUUUAGCCAACUUUGGGUCCUUCUGUCAUUCCCCAUACCAACAGCAAGAAUAGUCCUACUUCACUAUUAUACUGUUGAAUGAUAAGUUCUGGCAGCAGAGUUGACUGAGGGUAUUUUCUCUGUCCCCUGCUCAUGGAUGUCAGUGAGUUGAUAUU